AUUGAACGCUGGCGGCAGGCCUAACACAUGCAAGUCGAACGGCAGCGGGGGAUAGCUUGCUAUCCUGCCGGCGAGUGGCGGACGGGUGAGUAAUGCAUGGGGAGCUGCCCAGUCGAGGGGGAUAACAACUGGAAACGGUUGCUAAUACCGCAUACGCCCUGAGGGGGAAAGGUGGGGAACUUCGGUCCUACCGCGAUUGGAUGCGCCCAUGUGGGAUUAGCUAGUUGGGGAGGUAACGGCUCACCAAGGCGACGAGCUCUAGCUGGUCUGAGAGGAUGACCAGCCACACUGGAACUGAGACACGGUCCAGACUCCUACGGGAGGCAGCAGUGGGGAAUAUUGCACAAUGGGGGAAACCCUGAUGCAGCCAUGCCGCGUGUGUGAAGAAGGCCUUCGGGUUGUAAAGCACUUUCAGUCAGGAGGAAGGGGUGAUGGCUAAUAUCCAUCAUCAUUGACGUUACUGACAGAAGAAGCACCGGCUAACUCCGUGCCAGCCGCCGCAGUAA
rnacentral:rRNA from 1 species